UUCGUAGAUUGAGGUAGAAGAAAUACUUAAAAAUGAAACUUUGAAAAGUGAAACAAAAUCAAGCGUGAUAGAGGAGAAACAACGGCGGCCAAGUUAAAGAUAGCUUGAUGAAAUUAAACCUAGUUCAUGUACCUAGCGUACGCUCGAGAGUUUUGGAUGAGGACUUGUUGAGCAAUGAAAACACGAAUGAUUUCAAGCAUGUUGACGGCGAUAAAAGCUCUAGCGAGGACGAGGACGAAGAAUCUGAUUUAGAAAUUGAAGAGGAAGCUAUCACCAAAAGAGAUUUGCCAGAAAAUUCAAAGUUUACUCCCCAAGGUUUUUAUAUGCAGAUGAAUGAUUGUGAGAAGAGUACUCUAAGGAAUGUUAUUGACGAGGGAUAGUACAAGGACCAACGUAGAAUGUAGCGGCUUCUCUGUGAGAUUGUAGGAGGAUUAGUUCACCUUCAUUCACAGGUAGAAAAUUUCCAUUACUGCUGGAGCCAAUGUGGUUCUGCUACUGAUAGAAAUAAAGUUGAAGAUCACAUUCACCGUCUUAAAACAUUUAGCCGUCCGCCUGUUGUGCAUACUUGUGGUCCUUUACUUGAAGUUUUAAGCACCUAUCAUCGCUACAAUGAAUUAGUUGAAGAGUUUUCAUCCAUUCUUUACGAGAAAAGUUCAUGGACGUUUGAUAUUGUCUAGUGGGGACGUUAAAGUCAUAUCUUUGUAUCUAAAUAUUAUAUGACAUUGCAAUAUUGUAUUUGUUGUUUGUGGUGAAAUCCAUAAUAUACUGUGGAAACCAUUUAUUUACCAGCUGAUUGAUUCAUUAAUUGUAUUAUGUAGAAAGUAUAAAUAUCUGCUUUAGUUUAGCAUUCAGUCUGGAUAUUUUUUUGGCAACAACCAUGUAGGAUUUUCAUCACUUCCUUAACAGUAUUGAACGUAUAAGAGUGCUUGUAGUUUUGUUUUGAUAAUUCCUACUAAAGUAAUACUAUAUUGCUUCUUCCAUCGUGAGAAUGUAAGUUCGGAAUAUUAAACUGCCAGCAAUUGUGAUGUAAA